rnacentral:rRNA from 1 species
GUUUGAUCCUGGCUCAGGAUGAACGCUGGCGGCGUGCCUAAUACAUGCAAGUCGAACGCGCUGUGGCAAUUAUUGAGAAGCUUGCUUCAAUUUAAUUGCAAUGCAGCGAGUGGCGAACGGGUGAGUAACACGUGGGAAACCUACCUCUUAGCAGGGGAUAACAUUUGGAAACAGAUGCUAAUACCGUAUAACAACUUUUAUCGCAUGAUAAAAGUUUAAAAGAUGGUUCUGCUAUCACUAAGAGAUGGUCCCGCGGUGUAUUAGCUAGAUGGUGAGGUAAUGGCUCACCAUGGCGAUGAUACAUAGCCGAGUUGAGAGACUGAUCGGCCACAUUGGAACUGAGACACGGUCCAAACUCCUACGGGAGGCAGCAGUAGGGAAUCUUCCACAAUGGACGAAAGUCUGAUGGAGCAACGCCGCGUGUGUGAUGAAGGGUUUCGGCUCGUAAAACACUGUUAUAAGAGAAGAACGUCAGUGAGAGUAACUAUUUACUGAGUGACGGUAUCUUAUCAGAAAGGGACGGCUAAAUACGUGCCAGCAGCCGCGGUAAUACGUAUGUCCCAAGCGUUAUCCGGAUUUAUUGGGCGUAAAGCGAGCGCAGGCGGUUAUUUAAGUCUGAUGUGAAAGCCUACGG